rnacentral:rRNA from 1 species
AUACGUAGGGUGCGAGCGUUGUCCGGAAUUAUUGGGCGUAAAGGGCUCGUAGGCGGUUUGUCGCGUCGGGAGUGAAAACACCGGGCUUAACUCGGUGCUUGCUUUCGAUACGGGCAGACUAGAGGCAUGCAGGGGAGAACGGAAUUCCUGGUGUAGCGGUGAAAUGCGCAGAUAUCAGGAGGAACACCGGUGGCGAAGGCGGUUCUCUGGGCAUGUCCUGACGCUGAGGAGCGAAAGUGUGGGGAGC